UCAACUUCCGGUUACACGAUGUUGGCUGUCAACAUUUUAAUUAUUUUAAGUUUCUUUGUAUCAAGUGUACACAGUUGGGAUAGCGAAGAUUUAGAAUUGUUUGAUUUGGUUGAAGAAAUUAACGGAAACUUUUACGAGCUCCUGGAUAUAAAACGCGAUGACAAUUUAUCUGAGAUCAAAAAGGCAUACAAGAAAAAGGCAUUGAAGCUUCAUCCGGACAAGAACGAUGCACCUGAUGCUGAAGUUCAGUUUAGACAGUUGGUGGCUGUUUAUGAAAUACUCAAAGAAGAGGAGAAGAGAAAAAAGUAUGACAACGUGCUGGAUAAUGGCCUGCCGGACUGGCGCCAGCCGGUGUUCUACUUUCGCAAGGCGCGCAAGCUGGGACUACUGGAAUUGGCGGGCCUGCUGUCCCUGAUCGUUACUGUGGGACAGUACUUUGUUAUGUGGGCUGCCUACUUGGAGAGGAGGCUUGCUAUGGAGGACUUCUUUAUGUCUAAACGGAAACGAGAGACCAAGGGGAAGCGUGGCAAGGCAGUGGCAAUUAAUGAGAAAUUGGAGGAGGACUUACAUCAAACUCUGGAAGCACUACCAAAGCCACAUAUAAAGAACCUGUGGCCUAUCACGUUCACAAAGUGGGCCACCCUGCAGUUGGUUACCUUGCCUAAAUCGAUACGAGAAAGGAGAGAGCAGCAAAGACUUGCGAAGGAGAUCAGAGAGAAAGAGAGACAAGAAGAGGAGCGAAAAAGGGAGGAAUAUUUAAAAGAAUUGGAUCUUCGAAAACAGAAGCGGAAAGUGAAACAUGAGCCAGUGAUAGCUUCAGCAAUAUCGUCGGAUGUCACACCGGUAAUGUACGGGAUGUCACCAGAGGAGGAGGACAGUGAAGACAGUGCUUCAGAGACGUAUUGUAAAACUGGGAUGAAGACAGGGGAGUGGACAGACGAGGAUUAUGUGGUACUAUCCAAAGCGUACAUCAAGUUCCCGGGAGGCACUGUGGAACGAUGGGAGAAGAUUGCAGACAUGGUUGGCAGGCCAGUAUCAGAGGUAACUGCCAAGUGUAAGAAGAUGAAGGGCAACUUCAAGAUGAAUCUCAGCACCUCUGUGCAAGCUGGUCUGAAGACCAAAAACAGAGUUCAAAUAAGUGACAAUGUCAUAUCCAAAUCAGAGGAUGAUGUUGUUACAGUAGAGAUCAGCAACACAGAAAACACCGAAAAUAAAGUAAGAAAAAGAAGUAAAUAUUCAAAAAAUAUUGAUAGAACUUUAAUGAUAUCAAAAUCAGACACUGAUGAAAUGCUAGAUGCAGACACUCAAACUCAGUCAGCAUGUCCAACUGGUGCAGAAAGUUCAAGUCAAAACUUUACUUCUAAUAAGCCAAAGUCAAAUGGAGAAAAACUGUUGGUGUCAGUGAAUGAAAAGCUGGGCGCUAGUGUCCCUUCCACCAAAGGAUCAAGUGGUCUGGAUCUGGAUCUGGGGUCAGAAGAUGCUGAGGUUUGGUCGCAGAAUCAGCAGGUUAUUCUUGAGUGGGCGUUGAAACAGUAUCCCAAAGGAACAGACCAGAGAUGGGAGAAAAUUGCAGAGCACAUACCUGGGAAAAGCAAGGAGGACUGUAUCCAGAGAUUCAAAUACCUGGCUGAGCUGGUGAAGCAAAGGAAAAUGCAGUAGUCAGGUGCCAAAUUUCUCUAGUGUAAACCAUGAGACAGGGAGGAAAGAAAAACAGCAUGAGAGGACUGUAUCCAGAGAUUCAAAUACCUGGCUGAGCUGGUGAAGCAAAGGAAAAUGCAGUAGUCAGGUGCCAAAUUUCUCUAGUGUAAACCAUGAGACAGGGAGGAAAGAAAAACAGCAUGAGUAAACGAAACACACUGUAUAUUUUUAAAUAUUUAAAACACAAAAAACAUGUUGCUACACUCAGUAAGCUAUUUAAGAGAAUUAUUUCUUCAUUUAUUUGUGUGUGUGUGUCCAAGCUUGUGCUGUAACUUUGUCAUUGAUCAUGCAAUUUUAAAAUAACUUAACACAAAUGUUCAGCAUAAUAAGACAACGGUCAAAAAGACCAGAAAACAGCUUGUUCAGGUUGUAACCUGAUAUUUAUUAUGCAAUUUUAUCAUGACUUACCACAAAUGUCCACCAUAAAAAACGAAGUGUGACGUGUUACAAUCGUCACCCCUUACUUAUAGGUCAAGGUCAUACUUAACGUCAAAGGUUUCACUUUACCAUUAAACAGUCCUGACUGUAACUUCCUGCAUGCAAUUUAUACAAAUAAUGUUACCCAUGCAUCAAAGGCUUGUUGCACGCAAGUCCGGCAUCCAUCAAGGUCACAAUAAAGGUCAAAGAUGUACAUGGUGCAAGAUGUAAAAUAAAAAAGCUUAGUUGUUCUAGGCUAUUGCUCAUGAUUGAUAUUAUGCUUUUUUGAAAAACAAUGCUGUAUAUUCUUCUAUAUUAUAUUUAUUGUUAUAUUUAUUGUCAUACUAGUAGAGGGAAAGCUUGUUAGCCAACCUGAGCACAACGUGCUCAUGGUGAGCUUUUGUGAUCGCUUUUUGUCUGUCGUCCGUCGUGCGCCGUCAACAUUUGCCCUGUUAACUCUCUAGAGGCCACAUUUAUUGUCUUCAUGAAAUUUGGUCAGAAGAUUGGACUCAAUGAUAUCUUGGAUGAGUUCGAAAAUGGUUUUGGUUGCUUUAAAAAUAUGGCCACCAGGGGCGGGGCAUUUUUCCUUAUAUGGCUUUAGUAAAACCUUGUUAACACUCUAGAGGCCACAUUUACUGUCCGAUCUUCAUGAAACUUGGUCAGAAGAUUCAUCUCGGUAAUAUCUUGGAAGAGUUGAAAAAUGAUGCCGGUUGGUUGAAAAACAUGGCUGCCAGGGAGCGGGGCAUUUUUCCAUAUAUGGUUAUAGUAAAACCUUGUUUACACUCUUGAGGCCACAUUUAUUUUCCAAUCUUCUUGAAACUUGGUCAGAAGAUUUGUUCCAAUAAUAUCUUGUUAUAUCAGGUGAGCGACUUUGGGCCUUUUAGGCCCUCUUGUUUUUAAUUUAAUCUGCCUGUGUUGUCACUGGCUUUAUUUUUUGGUGUCUUGUGAUUUUGGGCAAGUUUAAAUUACGAUGUCUCGGAUUUAGGAUUUAACUUGUAAUGUUAUUGAUAUAUUUUGCAUUUUUAUUCAAUUCAUAAAUUGUUUUUAAAAUUUUUUUGGGGGGGAGCAUAUAGUCGCCGCUUCGUCUGUCCGUCCGUCCGUCCGUCCGUCCGUGCACAAUUUUUGUCCGGGCUAUUUCUCAGCAACUAAUGACCGGAAUUCAAUGAAACUUUAUGAGAAGCUUCACUACCAAGAGGAAGUGUGCAUAUUAUCAGGGGGUUCUGGUCGGAUGAUUUUUAACAGAGUUAUGGCCCUUUGAAAUUUUCCAUUAACUGUACAUAUAGUGCAAUUCUUGUCCGGGUUAUUUCUCAGCAACUUAUGACCGGAAUUCAAUGAAACUUUAUGGGAAGCUUCAAUACCAAGAGGAGAUGUGCAUAUUAUCAGCGGGUUUGGUCGGAUGAUUUUUCACAGAGUUACGGCCCUUUGAAAUUUUCUAUAAAACAAUUAUUGUCCCCCCAACUACUGUGCCCUCAAGACGUUUCCUUUUAUCUGAAUAUAUAGUGCAAUAUUGUGACAAAAAAAACUUUGGGGAGCAUCACCCGUCUUGACGGUUUCUUGUUAACAGAGUUAUUGCCCUUUGAAAUUUUCCAUUAACUGUACAUAUAGUGCAAUUCUUGCCCGUGCUAUUUCUCAGCAACUAAUGACCGGAAUUCAAUGAAACUUUAUGGGAAGCUUCACUACCAAGAGGAGAUGUGCAUAUUAUCAGCCAGUUCUAGUCGGAUGAUUUUUCACAGAGUUAUGGCCCUUUGAAAUUUUCCAUUGUACAUAUAGUGCAAUUCUUGUCCGAGCUAUUUCUCAGCAACUUAUUACGGGAAUUCAAUGGAACUUUAUGGGGAGCUUCACUACCAACCGGAGAUGUGCAUAUUAUCAGCCGCUUAUGGUCGGAUGAUUUUUCACAGAGUUAUGGCCCUUUGAAAUUUUCUAUAAACUGUACAUAUAGUGAAAUUCUUGUCCGGGCUAUUUCUCCCCAACUACUGACUGGAAUUCAAUGAAGCUUUAUGGGAAGCUUAACUACCUUGAGGAGAUGCGCAUGUUAUUUGUGAGUUCUAGUUAGAUGAUUUAUUUAGAGAGUUAUGGCCCUUUGAAAAUUUGAAGUUGCUAAACCAUCCAUCGUUUUAUUUAGUCCAAAGUUAUGCCCCUCAAGACGUUUCCUUUUAUCUGAAUAUGUAGUGCAAUAUUAUGACAAAAAAAACACCUUUGGGAAGCAUCACCCGUCUCCGACGGUUUCUUGUCUUACUUUAAAUUGUGACAAUUUGAGCAUUUAUUAUUAGCGAGGCUGUUUUCGGAGAAACCCAAGCUAUUGUCAUAGCCAGCUCGCCUGACGUCCGCUGUCCGACGUACGGGUCGUGCUAAAACCUUAACAUUGGCUCAAAAAUCAAAGUGCUUCCACCUACAACUUUGAAACUUCAUAUGUAGAUGCACCUUGAUGAGUUCUACACGCCACACCCAUUUUUGGGUCACUAGGUCAAAGGUCAAGGUCACUGUGACCUCUAAUAUUAAACUUUAACAUAGGCUCUAAAAUCAAAGUGCUUCCUCCUACAACUUUGAAACUUCAUUUGUAGUAGCACCUUGAUGAGUUCUACAUGCCACACCCAUUUUUGGGUCACUAGGUCAAAGGUCAAGGUCACUGUGACCUCUAAAAAAAAAAAAAUCUGACAAGCUUUCGCAGCCGAGCGUGUCACCCGUUAUGCGGUGCUCUUGUUAUUUUUAUUAUUAUUCAUUUACAUUAAAGUGUUCAGGCUAGGCUUAUCACUUCAGCCUUAUUUUUAGCUCACCUGAGCACAACCGUGCUCAUGCUCAGCUUUUGGGAUCAUCUUUUGUUCGUCGUCAACAUUUUGCCUUGUGAACACUCUUGUGGCCACAUUAAUUGUCUGAUCUGCAUGAAACUUGGUCGGAAGAUUUGUCCCAAUGAUAUCAUGGUCGAGUUCAGAACUGGGUCAUGCUGGGUCAAAAACUAGGUCAAAAAAAGAAAAACCUUGUGUACACUGUAGAAGUCACAUUUGAUGCCCAAUCUUCAUGUAACUUUGUCUUAAUGAUAAGUUGGUUGAGUUCAAAAAAUGUUCCGGUCCAUUAAAAAACAUGGCCGCCAGGGGGCGGGGUGGCUAUAGAGAAACCUUAUGAUCACAAUUUAUGCCCAAUCAUCAUGAAACUUGGUCAAAACAUUGGUUUCAUUGGGGGCGGGGCAGUUUUCUCUAGAGUCAAAACAUGUGAACACUCUAGAAGUCACAUUUUUGGUCCAAUCUUCAUGCAAUUUGGUCAGAAUAUUUGUUUCCUGGAUACGAUGGUUGAGUGCGAAAUUGCUUUGGAUCGGUAAAAAAAACAUGGCCGCCAGGGGGUCAUAGUAAAAAAAGCUUUAGAACACUCUAGAAGUCACAUUUUUGCCUAAUCAUCUUCAAAUUUUGUCUAAAUGUCGAUUUUAUAGAUAUCUUGGAAGAGUUCGAAAAUGGUCAUGAUCGGUGGAAAAACAUGGCCGCCAGGGGGGGGGGGGCAGUUUUCUCUAUAUGUAUAUAGUGAAAACAUGUGAACAUUUUUUGCCCAAUCUUCAUGACAUUUGGUCAGAACAUUUUUUUUCCUGAAUAUGACGGUUGAGUUGAAGAAUGGUUUUAAUCCAUCUAGUAACAUGACCGCCAGGGGGGGGGGGGGGGUGCGGGGGUCAUUUUCCUUAUAUUUAUAUACUAAAAAAGCUUGUGAACACUCUGAUAGUCACAUUUUUUUGCCGAUCGUCAUGAAACUUGGUCAAAACAUUGGUUUUAUUGAUAUGUCGGAUGAGUUUGAAAAUGGUCGUGAUCAGUGAAAAAACAUGGCCGCCAGGGGAUGGGGCAGUUUUCUCUAUAUGUAUGUAAGAAGCAUUUUCCUUAUAUAUAUAUUUUUUAAAAAUCUGGGUAUUAAAAACAUGGCCGACAUGGUGGGUGGGGUAAUUUUCUAUGUAGGCCUAUUGUAAAUACUUUGGAACACCUUAUUUUUAAAGUCAGUCUUGUCAUACCAAUAAUUUGAAAUAUGCUGAAGUGUUUUAAUCUUUGUUUCUUUCCAUCUUAGUCUCUCAGGUGAGCGAGCCAGUGCCCUCUGGGGCUUCUUGUUUAAUGUUCUGAUUGUUUUUCUCUCAGUGGUUUGGAAGCUAGGAUGUUUCUCUGGAGUUGUGUGUAUAUUUGUUAAAAUACUGAUGUUCUUACAUAAGUGUAACACAAUUGUUGAUACAUGCUGAAAUAAUGGUGCGGCCAAAUAAAAAAGUAAAACAUC